rnacentral:lncRNA from 1 species
CCUCGCCAGGUGGGGGGAAAAGACUUGAGGUUAGCUGAGAGGGUUCUGACAGCGUUCGGCGGGAGGUCGAGACUCAUGGCGUCGGACGGCUAAGCCUCGCCAACCGUCGAACGGAAAAGUAAAGUUAUGUGGCCGGGAGACUCUCGCCGACGUCCAACGGGAGCACACAGCAUCGAACGGGUAAAGCUUGUGUUAUACUUUCCGCGUGCGCUAUUCCGCUAGUGUGACGUAAAAAUCGUCAUCGGAGAGUGUGCGCGGAGGCUCUGAGCGGACAUCCGCGUGCCUCCCAUUUUUUGUGACAAAACAAAAAGCACAAAAAUCAAGCAGUACAAAAGCACCAAUUGCGCAUGCGCUGGAAAAACAACAUGGAGACCGAAUUUGAAGAGAGGCUGUGUGAAGAAGUUCGCUACCCGCACCUGUACAAUACUUCUUUAAAGCAAUAUAAAGACAUCCAAACGUGCAAUAACUCCUGGAGGGAAGUUGCUCAGAGUUUGGGCAAAGAAGAAAGUGCGUGUCGCCACAAGUGGAAAUAUUUGAGAGAUCGUUUCGUGACGGCAAAGAAGAAGCUGAAGAGAAGGAGCGGUGCACCAGGCGGUAGAGCUGUUCCCUCCAUCGUUUACCUCUUGAGCUGGUUGUCCGACUUCGUGAAACACCGGGACACAGACUCAAACUUCCCAGUAGAGCUAGAAGGCAACUCGUUCACACUGAACCUGGAAGCAACUGAAGCAGAUGAGUCCAUUUCCCCAAGAACUUCGACGCCAUCACCACAACCAGAGGCUUUUUCACCACCACCCGCAGCAGCUGUGCUGUCAUCACCCACACCCUCCUCAUCAUCCGCAAGUGAGGUUUUUCCCCUCCCCACAUCUCUGAAACAAAAAAGACAUACACCUACCACACCCUUUGAAGAUGCUAUCCUCCAGCGGCUACAACAAAUCGACAAAGCCAAAGAGGAUGAGGAUCAUGCCUUUAGUGUGAUGGUUACAAGCAUGCUGGCAAAACUUCCACCCCAUGUCCGCAUGGAAGCUAAAUUUGAAAUACACCAGCUUCUUUAUCAUAAACAGAAGCAGGCAUUUCAAAAUGACAUCAGUCAAUAAUAAAAACAGUUGUUUCAUUUGUUGGUGU